ensembl:lncRNA
GUUCAGUUAGUCGAUGUACGUCAGAAAAAGUUAUUUUGGGUAAAUUUACCAGGAAUGCAGUAUAACAAAACUUAGGGUCGUCCAUUGUGGGUUCGCCAGAGUGAUGAGUGAUUCACCGGAAGUGGCAGUGCACAAAGAUCACUGAAUGCGAAAGUACUACGUAUCAGCGUGAUAAUGGCCUAUUGUCUUGUAUUUUUAUUGCUGUGUUUUUCAGGUCCAAUGAUGCCUUUAAAUGGUUUGUAUUGCACAUCAACUUUAUGCAGGUGUCAGAAAGAUGGUAUGUAACUAUGUAUGUUGAUAUAAUGUUCUCUUGUUUAAAUGUUUUUUUUUUUGUUUGUUUUUUUUGCAGUUUUGUUUCUGUUGGAAUUAUCUUGUAUUCAGUGUGCUUCAGGUACUAGAUGUUUCUAAAUGGUAUGUAUUACACAACAUCAAGUACAUGUAGGAUAGGAUAGGUCAAAAUGGUAGGUAUUGCAUAUUUUGUUCUGCAAUUACAUUGUUCCAAGAUAUUGUUCCAUUGUCUACAAGUAUACUAUAUAGUUAAACAAGAAACUGAUCCCAUUCUUAAUAUAUCCACCCUGGUAGCUUUUCCACAUGGUGCUUUCUUGGGGUGUCUUCUUUCGUCAUGAUCAGAGUAAUACAACUUUUUCUUUUGCAGGUACUUGUUGAUCAUUGGAUUUGUCAUCAAUAUCGACACGUUGAUGCUGAUGAUUCCUGAACUGCUCCAAGUUCAGCGGUAUGUGCUCACCUACAGGUUCAGCCAGGAUCACUUGGAGCUCCUAUUUAAUUCAAUCAGAGCGUCAGGCGGCUGGAAUAACCAUCCAUCGGCAUGCCAGUUCCAGGCCAUCUUCCGCCGUCUGAUGGUUCGGUGUGGUGUCUCACCUGGUGAGACAGGCAAUGUGGCAGCACAAGAUCACACUGUGUCCCUGUCUGCUGUGGAGAUGUCCUCUGCUGAAACUGCUGAAGAGCACCCAUCUCCAUUCGCCAACAUUUCAGCCCUUGUGUGUGACCACAGUUAUCUCCCCACUCGGUUUGGUGGUCUGGUGGAAAAUGCUCUGGUCUACAUAGCAGGGUUUGUAGUCCGGCAGAUUCUUCGAAAGCUGUCCUGUGAUGUGUGCCGUGCAAGCUUGGUCAGAGAUGCUAGACCAGCAUCAUUUGACAAGAGCUACCACCUUCUAGCCCUGAAAAACAACGGAGGCCUAGUGAUUCCAUCACAAGGCACAGUGAAGGUGUGAUUGUUAUCUUAUUUUUUUAAAUCUUUUAAUCUUUGUAUAUUAAGGUUGCUUUGUUCUUAUUUUCUCUGUUCUGUAAAGUGUAUUUGAGUA